AGAGUUUGAUCCUGGCUCAGAACGAACGCUGGCGGCGUGGCUAAGGCAUGCAAGUCGUACGGACCGCAUGGAAGGCAACGGAAGUGCGGUUAGUGGCGGACGGGUGAGUAAUGCAUGGGUAACGUACCUGGCACUCGGGAAUAGCAGCGGGCUUCCAGCCCUUUAGCGAAAGCGCUGGUAAUACCCGAUGACGUUCAGAGGCCGCCUGACCACUGAAUCAAAGGCGGGGACCCUUCGGGGCCUGCCGGUGCGAGAUCGGCUCAUGUCCUAUCAGCUUGUUGGCGGGGUAAUGGCCCACCAAGGCGAUGACGGGUAGCCGGCGUGAGAGCGCGACCGGCCACAUCGGGACUGAGACACUGCCCGGACACCUACGGGUGGCUGCAGCAACGAAUAUUCCGCAAUGGGCGAAAGCCUGACGGAGCGACGCCGCGUGGAGGAUGACGUCCCUCGGGAUGUAAACUCCAAUAGUUUGUUCGGAAGCAAGCGGGCCGAACAGGCCCGUGCGUUGACCAGCAAACGAAAGGGGUGGCUAACUCCGUGCCAGCAGCCGCGGUAAGACGGAGACCCCUAGCGUUGUUCGGAAUCACUGGGCUUAGAGCGGGUGUAGGCGGGGCGGCAAGGACCUUGUGAAAUCCCCGGGCUCAACCCGGGAAUGGCUGGGUCGACUGCCGCUCUUGAGGCAGGGAGGGGUCACCGGAACCUUAGGUGGAGCGGUGAAAUGCGUAGAUAUCUAAGGGAACGCCUGUGGCGAAAGCGGGUGACUGGGCCUGACCUGACGCUGAGACCCGAAAGCGUAGGGAGCAAACAGGAUUAGAUACCCUGGUAGUCUACGCUGUAAACGAUGCGCACUAGGUACGAGGGUUUCUGACGAUUCUCGUGCCGAAACGAAAGCGAUAAGUGCGCCGCCUGGGGAGUACGGCCGCAAGGCUAAAACUCAAAGGAAUUGACGGGGGCUCACACAAGCGGUGGAGCAUGUGGAUUAAUUCGAAUCAACGCGGAGAACCUUACCUGGGUUUGACAUGCACGGAUGCCGUCCAUGAAAGUGGAGCCGGCUGCCUUCGGGUGAAACGUGCACAGGUGCUGCAUGGCUGUCGUCAGCUCGUGCUGUGAAGUGUCGGGUUAAGUCCUCUAACGAGCGGAACCCUUGUCGCUAGUUGCCAGCGGGUCAUGCCGGGGACUCUAGCGAGACUGCCGGCGUUAAGCCGGAGGAAGGCGGGGAUGACGUCAAGUCAUCAUGGCCCUUAUGCCCAGGGUGUCACACGUGCUACAAUGGGGUGUACAGAGCGACGCAAGGCCGCAAGGCGGAGCAAAUCGCACAAAACACCCCCCAGUUCAGAUUGGGGUCUGCAACCCGACCCCAUGAAGUCGGAAUCGCUAGUAAUCGCGUAUCAGCCAUGACGCGGUGAAUGUGUUCCUGAGCCUUGUACACACCGCCCGUCAAGUCA
rnacentral:rRNA from 1 species